rnacentral:rRNA from 1 species
UACGAAGGGGGCUAGCGUUGCUCGGAAUCACUGGGCGUAAAGGGUGCGUAGGCGGGUCUUUUAAGUCAGGGGUGAAAUCCUGGAGCUCAACUCCAGAACUGCCUUUGAUACUGAGGAUCUUGAGUUCGGGAGAGGUGAGUGGAACUGCGAGUGUAGAGGUGAAAUUCGUAGAUAUUCGCAAGAACACCAGUGGCGAAGGCGGCUCACUGGACCGGUAUUGACGCUGAGGUGCGAAAGCGUGGGGAGCAAACAGG